CCUACGGGUGGCAGCAGUGGGGCAUAUUGGGCAAUGGGCGCAAGCCUGACCCAGCAACGCCGCGUGAAGGAAGAAGGCUUUCGGGUUGUAAACUUCUUUUGACAGGGAAGAGCAGAAGACGGUACCUGUCGAAUAAGCCACGGCUAACUACGUGCCAGCAGCCGCGGUCAUACGUAGGUGUCAAGCUUUGUCCGGAUUUACUGGGUGUAAAGGGCGUGUAGCCGGGCUGACAAGUCAGAUGUUAAAUCCGGGGGCUCAACCCCCGAAGUGCAUUUGAAACUGUUGGUCUUGAGUAUCGGAGAGGCAGGCGGAAUUCGUAGUGUAGCGGUGAAAGGCGUAGAUAUUAGGAAGAACACCAGUGGCGAAGGCGUCUUACUGGACCGAAACUGACGUUGAGGCUCGAAAGCGUGGGGAGCAAACAGGAUUAGAUACCCUUGUAGUC
rnacentral:rRNA from 1 species